rnacentral:lncRNA from 1 species
GAGACGAAGGAGGCUGCCCUAUGUGUGUCUUUCUGGUUUCUUUGACCCACAAGCUCUCCUAGAAACUGGGAUGACUUCUGGCCUCCCUUUCUCUCUUGGGAUGUAGGCUAUAGUGUGUUCUCGGUCAACAGCCACCACCGAGAGAAUGUUUCCUCCCCAAAAUAUGUUUUCUUUCAGUUAUCUCUACAACAUAAUACAGAGGGAACUUCAUCCUCAGCAGUCUCCAGCCUUCCCUUCAUCCAGUAUGCAACAAAGGCUUAUCAAGCUCCCUUGCUCCAGGGCCUCUGCUAGUUUAAAUGGAAACUAACCACUGGCCAAGUUCAAGCACUGAGGGGAACAGGAAGCCUGUCUCUUCAGCCUGGAGAGAGGACUUUUGGGGCAUAGGAGGAGGUGCGCCGGGGUCAGGCCCCGCCUAUAGCCAAGGGAGAGAGCUGAAGGGAAGGUCUCCGUCCUCACCCCCACCUGCAUCCAGAGACAAACUUCAGGUAAGCCCUCCUGGGCUGGGGCCCUCUUGUAAGAUGAAAGUCUCCCUGGGAGAGGUGGGGCACUGUGAUCAAAACCUCAGCAUGAAUGAUUUUUUAUAUCACCCUGUGUAAGAGUGCAGGGGAGCAGAGACCCUGGGGGCAAGGGGCCCCAUUCCUGGCACCCGCCCAAAUGACCUCCAACUGGAAAACUGCCCUCUAAUUAGCAAUCAGGAAAUGAAGGUAUAGCACAGCGCCAAGGAGCACGACCCCGGCUGUAGCCUGGUGACAUUCCAGCCCUUGAGAUAGCAUGCCCCUGCCCCCGCACCGCAGGGCUGCAGACUCUGUGGGUUAUUUUUAUCUAAGGGCGCUAUUGUUGGUUGUGUGGUAGCUGCUGUGGUGGGUCCCAGCAGCGGUGAGCUUGCAGCCAGGAUUUCCUGUGCAGCUUCCUUCUCCUCCUCCCUCAUGCAAGGGGCCCUCCUUCCAGCGCUCAGGAGACAAUCUGAGGGCUGCCUGGAGCCUAACCCUGGCCUUGGAGGAGGCCAAGGGCAUCGUGGCCUUCUCUGGCUUCUCCCAGCAACACUGGGCCACCCCGGCCCUGCCCUUGGGUGCCUCAGCCCCAUUUCCUCUGCAGAGAAGGGUAUAAAAGGCACUGUUUCUAGCUGCCUCUCUUCUACCCCACAACUCUAAAAGGUAAAAGCACUGCUUUCUAGAAAGCCAGAUUCACUCAGUGACUCUAUUUUAAUGGCAACCUAUAGCACGAAGAAAAAUUUCUCAUGAUCCAGUACACACAUCCACACACAUGUAGGAAUGAAAUAAAAGCUUCAGGAAAUAACACAAUCUUCCCAUGUCUGCCACACUCUGAUUUUUUUUCUUUCCUGUUUUAUUUUAGUCUUUUUUAUUUGUUGUCUUUCUUUUAAAAAUUUCUUGUUGCAGCUCACAGAUAAAUCGAUUUCGNNNNNNNNNNNNNNNNNNNNNNNNNNNNNNNNNNNNNNNNNNNNNNNNNNNNNNNNNNNNNNNNNNNNNNNNNNNNNNNNNNNNNNNNNNNNNNNNNNNUGCAGCUCACAGAUAAAUCGAUUUCGCAACCCAAUAAUGAUUCAUGAUUCCGUUGUGAAAAUACUGUGCCAAAUACAUCUUCUGGAGCCAUUUCUCUUUUCUGAUUGAAGGAAGGGCAUGCACUCGAGUUUAUAGAGGGCUUCUGAACUAGGCACUGCUCGGUGUUGAAUUUAAAUUCAUUUUAAUUUCAGGCUGACAGGCUGAGUAGCUUGUGCACAGAAUCAGCCAAAGUGGGAUCAUUUAUCCCAUGGAAAUUGCCAAAAGUUUUAAAUCAGGUUUGUUUUUGUUUUUCUUCUCUUGAGAGCCAGCUCUUACACAUUUACCAGCACAUCACUGAUUCUAACCCCGCUCUUUCAGACCUCAGCUUCUGACCUCAGCUUCCUCAUCUGUAAAAUAACAUUAAAAAUGUCUACUUCAUGGGAAAAAUAUAUUGAGUACCUUCUGGUAAGUAUGAGGGACAAUGACUGGAAGGAAACAAAGAUGCAAAUCAUCCUGUCACUUGCCACUGGAUGGGAUUUGAAAGAUGAAGUCCUCAACCUCUGCUGUCUUCUACAUUGCUAAUUGUAGUUGAUACAGAAAAAAAAAAAUCUCUGUAUAAAAACCCACAUUUUAAGAAGCUGUUGUGAGAAUUAGAAGUGAUGGUAAACCUAGAGCCCAGUGCUCUACAAACGGGAGCCAAUAUUAGAAAAGAGUGAAU